AACCGAGAUGGCGGGAUUGAUGGAUUGCAUAGCAAGUACAGAGUACCGCGGUUCCAGAACCAGUCUUCACCUCUUCGACUUCAAUAUAUGAAAUGCAACAGAGGUCAGCCAUAUGAGCGAAAGGUCUUCGAAUUUUUGCAAGAUGACAUACAUAACUGCACUCUGCACGCCUCGUUCCGGCUUUUCGGGUGCAUACUCUACAUCAGCUACCACCUAGACCAGCCGGAGUUGGAGGAAGCGGCUCAUCAAACGACGGCAACACAGCCCGGCGGGCCUUCGCAGAAGUAGCGACCUUAGCUGAGAUCACCGGGGUCGACGAGUGCCUAAUCGGAGACCUACAUGCUGCAUUGCAAUGGCAUACGGAUAUCACAUGGACGCUGAAAAGUUCGGUGCCUACUGCCAAGAAACAGCCGAAAUAUAUAUGCACAUGUAUCCGUGGUACAUAUGCACAUAUAGUUCC
rnacentral:lncRNA from 1 species